UGGGGAAUAUUGGACAAUGGGCGCAAGCCUGAUCCAGCAAUGCCGCGUGAGUGAUGAAGGCCUUAGGGUUGUAAAGCUCUUUCGUCCGCGACGAUAAUGACGGUAGCGGAAGAAGAAGCCCCGGCUAACUUCGUGCCAGCAGCCGCGGUAAUACGAAGGGGGCUAGCGUUGUUCGGAAUUACUGGGCGUAAAGGGCGCGUAGGCGGUCUUUUUAGUCAGGCGUGAAAGCCCCGGGCUCAACCUGGGAAUUGCGCUUGAUACUGGAAGACUUGAGUUCGGGAGAGGUGAGUGGAAUUCCCAGUGUAGAGGUGAAAUUCGUAGAUAUUGGGAAGAACACCGGUGGCGAAGGCGGCUCACUGGACCGACACUGACGCUGAGGCGCGAAAGCGUGGGGAGCAAACAGG
rnacentral:rRNA from 1 species